rnacentral:lncRNA from 1 species
CCCGCCUCGGCCCGGCCGGCUCCCAGACGAGCACGUGCUAUGCGCGGCCCCCCGCGCCCCCGCCUCGGGCGCCACGCAGGCAGCGCUCCCGGCGGGGCGCCCCGCUCUGCGCCGUUCCCUCCGCCGUCGCCCAGCCACCGCCUUUCGCACGCGCCGGAACCGCUUUUGUGGUCUCCGAGACACUCAUUUGCUGUCCUGGUUUCCAAAGCUCCACGUGCUCAGCGCCGAAAACUUGCAAAUCAUUUGCUGUCUAUACUGGGCGCCCGCUGCGUGCCAGGUACUGCCACCGGCUCUCUCCUCACGGUGGAAUAACUUAACAGAGAAGACAGACAUCAAUCAAAUACCCUGGAAACGUGGAAGGCAGGGGAAAGAACAAAGGGAGAGCAAAAUCGCCCCAAUCCCACAUCACCCGCGACGUGAAAGGAUUUGUCCUUCCAGCUGCGGGACUCCUAUUUGUUUAUUUCAACCCCGCGCCAGCUCCAGGCACAGCCGUUCAGGGUGAUGCCAAAGGGAAAUGAGAACGCCUGGUUUCGAGUGCCAGCCUGAGGCCCCUUAAGCCCUAGUGACCAAAACAAGCCACAUGACAAUCUGUCUUCAAGGGGACAGACAGUGCAAGUCUGUCACUGGUUUCUGAAGACAACAAGGUAUCAGUACAGCAUUCUUUAUACCAGAAUUAUACAAAGACUCUGAAAAUAUUGUGUGCAGCAUUGGGGGUACGAGGGUGAGCAAAACAGACAUGAACCCAGCCCCCUGGGAGCUUACCAUCUCAUGGGAAGAUGCACAUGAAUCAAAUAAUCAUACAACUUUAUAAUUACAGAAGAUAAAUUUAGGGUCACUAUGAGAGAGCAUAUGAGGAAACCUGAAGCUUUCCUUACAGUUCUGGAAUAUGGGAUGAGAGCUGAAGGUUAUGCAGAAUUUAACUGAGGUGAAGAAUGAAACAGGGCUGGGUGCAGUGGCUCAUGCCUGUAAUCCCAACACUUUGGAACGCCGAGAGAGGAGGAUCG